CAGCAGCCGCGGUAAUACAUGGAGGGGCGAGCGUUGUUCGGAAUUACUGGGCGUAAAGGGUUCGUACGUGGCUGGCUAAAUCAUACGUGAAAUCCCUCAGCUUAACUGGGGAACUGCGUCUGAGACUGGCGAGCUCGAGUGCGGGAUAGGAACGCGGACUCCAGGUGUAGAGCUGAAAUGCGUAUAUAUAUGGCAGGAACACCGGUGGCGAAUGCGGCUUUCUGGACUGCAACUGACACUGAGGAACGAAAGCCAGGGUAUCAAACGGGAUUAUCAUACCUCCGGUAGUCCUGGCCGCUAAACGAUGAAUGCUUGGUGUGGCGGUUAUCCGAUCCCUGCCGUGCCGCACUUAACGCGUUAACAUUCCGCCUGGGGAGUACGGUCUCAAGGCU
rnacentral:rRNA from 1 species